rnacentral:rRNA from 1 species
CAGCAGCCGCGGUAAAACGGAGGGUGCAAGCGUUAAUCGGAAUUACUGGGCGUAAAGCGCGCGCAGGCGGUUUGUUAAGUCAGAUGUGAAAUCCCCGAGCUUAACUUGGGAACUGCAUUUGAAACUGGCAAGCUAGAGUCUUGUAGAGGGGGGUAGAAUUCCAGGUGUAGCGGUGAAAUGCGUAGUGAUCUGGAGGAAUACCGGUGGCGAAGGCGGCCCCCUGGACAAAGACUGACGCUCAGGUGCGAAAGCGUGGGGAGCAAACAGGAUUAGAUACCCCGGUAGUCCCUGUCUCUUAUAC